rnacentral:rRNA from 1 species
AACGAACGCUGGCGGCAUGCCUAACACAUGCAAGUCGAACGAGACCUUCGGGUCUAGUGGCGCACGGGUGCGUAACGCGUGGGAACCUGCCCUUAGGUUCGGAAUAACUCCCCGAAAGGGGUGCUAAUACCGGAUAAUGUCUUCGGACCAAAGAUUUAUCGCCUUUGGAUGGGCCCGCGUUGGAUUAGCUAGUUGGUAGGGUAAAAGCAUACCAAGGCGACGAUCCAUAGCUGGUCUGAGAGGAUGAUCAGCGACACUGGGACUGAGACACGGCCCAGAAUCCUACGGGAGGCAGCAGUGGGGAAUAUUGGACAGUGGGCGAAAGCCUGAUCCAGCAAUGCCGGGUGAGUGAUGAAGGCAUUAGGGUUGUAAAGCUCUUUUACCCGGGAUGAUAAUGACGGUACCGGGAGAAUAAGCUCCGGCUAACUACGUG